rnacentral:rRNA from 1 species
GCAGUCGACGGCAGCACGGGAGCAAUCCUGGUGGCGAGUGGCGAACGGGUGAGUAAUAUAUCGGAACGUGCCCAGUCGUGGGGGAUAACGUAGAGAAAUUUACGCUAAUACCGCAUACGAUCUAAGGAUGAAAGCGGGGGACCGUAAGGCCUCGCGCGAUUGGAGCGGCUGAUAUCAGAUUAGGUUGUUGGUGAGGUAAAAGCUCACCAAGCCGACGAUCAGUAGCUGGUCUGAGAGGACGACCAGCCACACUGGAACUGAGACACGGUCCAGACUCCUACGGGAGGCAGCAGUGGGGAAUUUUGGACAAUGGGCGAAAGCCUGAUCCAGCAAUGCCGCGUGAGUGAAGAAGGCCUUCGGGUUGUAAAGCUCUUUUGUCAGGGAAGAAACGGUGCGGGCUAAUAUCCUGCACUAAUGACGGUACCUGAAGAAUAAGCACCGGCUAACUACGUGCCAGCAGCCGCGGUAAUACGUAGGGUGCAAGCGUUAAUCGGAAUUACUGGGCGUAAAGCGUGCGCAGGCGGUUUUGUAAGACAGUUGUGAAAUCCCCGGGCUCAACCUGGGAAUUGCAUCUGUGACUGCAUCGCUAGAGUACGGUAGAGGGGGAUGGAAUUCCUGGUGUAGCGGUGGAAUGCGCAGAUAUCAGGAGGAACACCAAUGGCGAAGGCAGAUCUCUGGGCCGUAACUGACGCUGAGGAGCGAAAGCAUG